CAAAGUUGAUAAUGUUUAUGACGUCGAUUCUCGACGUCAUAACCAACAAAGUUGAUCGUGUUUAUGACGCCGAAUAUCGACGUCAUAAACACCAAAA